rnacentral:rRNA from 1 species
UGCGCAGGCGGGAGAUUAAGUCGGCGGUGAAAUUUUGCAGCUUAACUGUAAAAGUGCCUUCGAAACUGGUUUCCUUGAGUGUAGAUGAAGUAGGCGGAAUUUGUGGUGUAGCGGUGAAAUGCAUAGAUAUCACGAGGAACUCCGAUUGCGCAGGCAGCUUACUAAACUACUACUGACGCUCAGGCACGAAGGCGUGGGGAUCAAACAG